GAUGAACGCUGGCGGCGUGCCUAAUACAUGCAAGUCGAGCGAACAGACGAGGAGCUUGCUCCUCUGACGUUAGCGGCGGACGGUUGAGUAACACGUGGAUAACCUACCUAUAAGACUGGGAUAACUUCGGGAAACCGGAGCUAAUACCGGAUAAUAUAUUGAACCGCAUGGUUCAAUAGUGAAAGACGGUUUUGCUGUCACUUAUAGAUGGAUCCGCGCCGCAUUAGCUAGUUGGUAAGGUAACGGCUUACCAAGGCGACGAUGCGUAGCCGACCUGAGAGGGUGAUCGGCCACACUGGAACUGAGACACGGUCCAGACUCCUACGGGAGGCAGCAGUAGGGAAUCUUCCGCAAUGGGCGAAAGCCUGACGGAGCAACGCCGCGUGAGUGAUGAAGGUCUUCGGAUCGUAAAACUCUGUUAUUAGGGAAGAACAAAUGUGUAAGUAACUAUGCACGUCUUGACGGUACCUAAUCAGAAAGCCACGGCUAACUACGUG
rnacentral:rRNA from 1 species